GACGAACGCUGGCGGCGUGCUUAACACAUGCAAGUCGAACGGAAAGGCCCUGCUUUUGUGAGGUGCUCGAGUGGCGAACGGGUGAGUAACACGUGAGUAACCUGCCCUUGACUUUGUGAUAACUUCAGGAAACUGGGGCUAAUACCGGCUAGGAGCUCCUGCUGCAUGGUGGGGGUUGGAAAGUUUCGGCGGGUGGGGAUGGACUCGCGGCUUAUCAGCUGGUUGGUGGGGUAGUGGCUUACCAAGGCAUUGACGGGUAGCCGGCCUGAGAGGGUGACCGGCCACAUUGGGACUGAGAUACGGCCCAGACUCCUACGGGAGACAGCAGUGGGGAAUAUUGCACAAUGGGGCGAAGCCUGAUGAAGCAACGCCGCGUGCGGGAUGAAGGCCUUCGGGUUGUAAACCGCUUUCGCCUGUGACGAAGCGUGUGUGACGGUAAUGGGUAAAGAAGCACCGGCUAACUACGUG
rnacentral:rRNA from 1 species